CGAAGGGAAAUGAGCGGAGGAAAUCCGCACAAGGGUUUUUACUGCCAAAUAUUUCUUUCCCUAGGAAGACAGUACAUUCAAACCACUGAGUGGAGACUGGAGUUAGGCCAGCCAUAAACUAUCCUAAUGAAGACUAAUCGGGAACUACAAUUACUGUUGACUUCAGAAUGCAAACAUGAACUUUAGACAGCGAUCCCUAUCAGCCGAUAAAAGUUUGAAUUUUGCCCGGGAGGGACCCUCCAGAAUUAUCAUUAAAGAAAAUAUACGCAAAGAACAGAAGGGUCCCAUGCUGCCCUCUCCACAACAGAGUGUGGUGAUAUCCACUGGAAGGUCUUGUUGUCUCACAGAGGAACUUCCUCCUUCUGUAGGGAGGGUCUCCUUCUACAGUCCUUGUGCUGACCUCACCUGAACCUAUAGCGAGCUUUAACUUCUGCUUGGUGGCCUUUCCCCCAUGUAUACAUGUUCUCACGUUUGUAAUACGUUAAUGAGUCAAAACAACUUUGUCAUAACAUCCACUUAUGAUUAAAAAAAUUUUGGUAAUCUCGGG
rnacentral:lncRNA from 1 species